AAAAAAUGUAGUGGCUUGUUUAAAACAACAAACUUGACCUAUUUAUUUAAUUAGAAUAAAUAAUUGGAACACUCACAGUGUUCUAGUGCUGCUGGUUUCAUGUUAUUUGUUGGAUAUUAUUUGAAUCUCGGUAUUUCCUAAAUUGUCUAAAAUUUGUUGGGUUGAGUCAUAUCAGAUUUCUGUAAUUUUAAGACAAAGUUUCUGAAGUCUAGCUGAAUUAUAAGUUAGCUAUUAGACACAGAAUGAGGAAUUCACUGGGAUAGACUUCUUUCUGACUGAGCUGUCUCUCCAGAGUGGCAUACGAUUCAUUACUGCUAAAUACUUCUUCCCUUAUCACCUUAAGUCAAACUUAAAUGUGACAUUUAUAAACU
rnacentral:lncRNA from 1 species